GUCCAUGGCCAUGCCACCCUGAACGUGCCGGAUCUCGUCUGAUCUCGGAAGCUAAGCAGGGUUGAGCCUGGUUAGUACUUGGAUGGGAGACCACAUAGGAAUGCCAGGUGCUGUAGGCA
rnacentral:rRNA from 1 species